CGUUGCGGCGGCAUGCAAAUUUAUCAUCUCGUCCCACCGAGAAGCUCUACGACGAACAAAAAGUAGUAGUAUCGUACCCGCGGGAUUAUGGACUGGCAUCAUGUUCUUCACCAAACUUGUCCAACUCGAGUAUUUCUGUGACGCAACACAGCCUACGAUCUCGACUGGCAACGGAAAAAGCUGCGAGAAGACGAGGAACAAGUGGCUGGCAGAGGCAGACUAAACCAAAGCAUCAGAGAGUCACUCUCCGGAGGCAUUACAGGUUCUUGGUAGCAGCGUCGCCGUCAAAAAUCAUUGGAAAGGAGAAACUCGAGUCAAUCCGAGGGAUGGUUUCAACACGCUUGGGAUGAGGCCGGGCUUUACCAUUUUAAAAAUGGCAGGAUCUUGCACGGUUUUGCCUCGGGAGUACAAGCGUUCAAAGAAGGCCGAGAAAGUUUUCUCCUAAAGACCAGAUCGAGCUCGGAGGCACCUAACAAUCAAAGUCGUCGAUCGACCGCCUCUACCACUCCAAGCUAGCAAGCGGUCCCUCCCUCCAUCCAGCGAGGUUUGUAAGGAAUCCAUUCGUUUUUGUUUCCUUCUUCGAAUUUAUUGUGCUAGUGGCGUUCCUAGCGCUGUGAUUGAUCGUUU